GUACAAUAAGCUAAAUAAGGGCGUAUGGCGGAUGCCUAGGCUCUCAGAGACGAUGAAGGACGCGAUAAGCUGCGAAAAGUUGCGGGGAGAAGCACAUAUUUUAUGAUCCGCAAGUAUCCGAAUGGGGCAACCCGGCAUGUUGAAGACAUGUCACCUAUUUAUAGGGGUAAACCCGGUGAACUGAAACAUCUAAGUAACCGGAGGAAGAGAAAACAAUAGUGAUUCCG
rnacentral:rRNA from 1 species